AGAGGACCCACGUAGUGUCUAUAGGUGGCGGGGACCGGUCCGUGUUCCUCUGGAAGUACCAGACCGGAUCGCCGGACACCGGUGAACACGUCGUGGCGGUGCGGAAGAGUGUGCAGGUCUCGGAGGAUGACGAGCCGGACACGGACACGGAACAUUUCCCGGAGAUCUACACAGAUGUGGAGAACGAGCAGAGCGUCCUCAAACCGUCCAGGGUGAGCCGAAAGCGUCGCGAGAAGCGUUCGGCGUCGGCCUCCCACCGCGGCGUGCCCCGGCAGAGGGCUGCCCCUAACGCCGACACCAAACUGCCAGAGGCCGGGCUCAAACUGAAGUUUGUCGGAGGGUACCGUGGUCACGAUACGCGGAACAACCUGCACUUCAGCAAGGAGGGUCACCUGGUGUACCACCUGGCCGCGCUGGGCAUAGUGUACGAUCCGGCCACACUGGGUCAGCAGUUCUACGACAAGCACACGGACGACAUCCUUUGUCUGACCGUGCAGCCCGGC